rnacentral:rRNA from 1 species
AGAGCGAACGCUGGCGGCAGGCCUAAUACAUGCAAGUCGAACGCACCUUCGGGUGAGUGGCGGACGGGUGAGUAACACGUGGGAACGUGCCUUUUGGUUCGGAAUAAUCCGGGGAAACCUGGCCUAAUACCGGAUGUGCCCUUCGGGGGGAAAGAUUUAUCGCCAUUAGAGCGGCCCGCGUCUGAUUAGCUUGUUGGUGGGGUAAUGGCCCACCAAGGCUACGAUCAGUAGCUGGUCUGAGAGGAUGAUCAGCCACACUGGGACUGAGACACGGCCCAGACUCCUACGGGAGGCAGCAGUAGGGAAUCUUGCGCAAUGGGCGAAAGCCUGACGCAGCCAUGCCGCGUGAAUGAUGAAGGUCUUAGGAUUGUAAAAUUCUUUCAGCGGGGAAGAUAAUGACUGUACCGCAGAAGAAGCUCCGGCUAACUUCGUGCCAGCAGCCGC